rnacentral:rRNA from 1 species
AUUAAACGCUGGCGGCAUGCCUUACACAUGCAAGUCGAACGGCAGCACGGGGGCAACCCUGGUGGCGAGUGGCGGACGGGUGAGUAAUGCAUCGGAACGUGCCCUGAAGUGGGGGAUAACGCAGCGAAAGCUACGCUAAUACCGCAUAUUCUGUGAGCAGGAAAGCAGGGGAUCGCAAGACCUUGCGCUUUGGGAGCGGCCGAUGUCGGAUUAGCUAGUUGGUGGGGUAAAGGCCUACCAAGGCGACGAUCCGUAGCGGGUCUGAGAGGAUGAUCCGCCACACUGGGACUGAGACACGGCCCAGACUCCUACGGGAGGCAGCAGUGGGGAAUUUUGGACAAUGGGCGGAAGCCUGAUCCAGCCAUGCCGCGUGAGUGAAGAAGGCCUCGG